AGCCCAGACUCCUACGGGAGGCAGCAGUGGGGAAUAUUGCACAAUGGGGGAAACCCUGAUGCAGCGACGCCGCGUGAGUGAAGAAGUAUUUCGGUAUGUAAAGCUCUAUCAGCAGGGAAGAAAAACCGACCAUAGGGUCGCUAGACGGUACCUGAUUAAGAAGCCCCGGCUAACUACGUGCCAGCAGCCGCGGUAAUACGUAGGGGGCAAGCGUUAUCCGGAUUUACUGGGUGUAAAGGGAGCGUAGACGGCUGUGCAAGUCUGAAGUGAAAGGCCGGGGCCCAACCCCGGGAGUGCUUUGGAAACUGUGCGGCUAGAGUGUCGGAGAGGCAAGUGGAAUUCCCAGUGUAGCGGUGAAAUGCGUAGAUAUUGGGAGGAACACCAGUGGCGAAGGCGGUUUACUGGACCACAACUGACGCUGAGACACGAAAGCGUGGGGAGCAAACAGGAUUAGAUACCCCAGUA
rnacentral:rRNA from 1 species